CCUACGGGAGGCAGCAGUGAGGAAUAUUGGUCAAUGGACGAGAGUCUGAACCAGCCAAGUAGCGUGAAGGAUGACUGCCCUAUGGGUUGUAAACUUCUUUUAUAUGGGAAUAAAAUGUUCCCCGUGUGGGAUUUUGUAUGUACCAUAUGAAUAAGGAUCGGCUAACUCCGUGCCAGCAGCCGCGGUAAUACGGAGGAUCCGAGCGUUAUGCGGAUUUAUUGGGUUUAAAGGGAGCGUAGGUGGAUUGUUAAGUCAGUUGUGAAAGUUUGGGGCUCAACCGUAAAAUUGCAGUUGAAACUGGCAGUCUUGAGUAUAGUAGAGGUGGGCGGAAUGCGUGGUGUAGCGGUGAAAUGCUUAGAUAUCACGAAGAACUCCGAUUGCGAAGGCAGUUCACUGGACUGCAACUGACACUGAGGCUCGAAAGUGUGGGUAUCAAACAGGAUUAGAUACCCGGGUAGUC
rnacentral:rRNA from 1 species